rnacentral:lncRNA from 10 species
AAGCUGGCCACCUGGGGGAGCAGCGGCAAGCAGCUUAGGUGCCUUUCCACGAUGUGGAAGCUUUGUUCUUAGCAAUAAAUCUUGCUGCUGCUUAUUCUUUGGGUCUGCACUACCUUUAUGACUGUAACACUCACCGCGAAGGUCUGCAGCUUCACUCCUGCAGUCAGCGAGACCAGCAACCCACCGGGAGGAGCAAAGCGUGCCAGAAGUGUGCCACGUUUAAGAGCUGUAACACUCACUGCGAAAGUCUGCGGCUUCAUUCCUGAAGUCAGCAAGACCAUGAACCCACCAGGAGGAAGGAACAACUCUGCACGUGCCAUCUUUGAGAGCUGUAACAUUCACUGAGAAGGUCUGCAGCUUCACUCCUGAAGUCAGCAAGACCAAGGACCCAUCAGAAGAAAAAAACUUGGGACACAUCUGAACAUCUGAAGGAACAAACUCCCGACACACCAUCUUUAAGAACUGUAACACUCACCACGAGGGUCCGCGGCUUCAUUCUUGAAGUCAGCGAGACCAAGAACCCACGGAAGGAACCAAUUCCGGACACAAGAGGCUUUUGCAGGAAUUCGGCUGUGUGUGAUGUGAGUAGCAGAAAUCAGGAAAAACGGUUUUCAACGCAUCUUUCUACUUUACCGCUUCUUAACUCUGAGUCCCUGUCUUCAAGGAAAUAUUUUCUAUUGAGGCAGUCCAAGAAAAGGCAUUUUCUCUAGUCUUUUGACUUCAUAAUCCAGUAUCAGUUCCUCAUCUGUGAAAUGGGAAUACGUUCUCACUGCCUCAUGACUGGAGCUGUACUAGCAGAUCUCCUGAGAGCCAUUCCUGUUCCAAUAUAUAAUAGUAUGACCCUGUCUAGGGGAGGCUGGUUCCCCCCACUGGCAAAUUUGAAACUUAAGUAGCCUACUACAGAGGCUAAUUGCACAGGAAAUGUAAUUCCCAGAUCAUCAACUUCCUCCCUUCUCAUGUUUCUGCUACUAGGCUGCCAUUAACACUUAGCUUGAAAAUGGCCUAAUAGUAUCAAGAAAGAAAAGAGAACAAGAAGAAACCGAAUACCUGAAACACCCGUAAUCUGGAUCAUGUGCUAUCAAAAAGGGAUAGUUGAUGUUGCUCACCAGAGAGCAGGCGUGAAUUGGAGUCAUUGCCACACAACCUGAUGGGUAAAAUUAACCAUCUCUCUUGCCACGAAUCCCUCUCCACAGGAGAGAGAAGACUCAUCGGUCUCCUACUUAGAUUCAUAAAACAGUAGAGCUGGAGGGGACAUUAGCAGUUCUCAUGUCCAAGCAUGAAUGUUCGCAUUUGCAGAAGCGAGCCAGGCUCUCAGGACACCAUCCCGGGUCUCCACACUUGCAGCUCAGAGCAUUGCCACAGCACCAGCACAGAUUCUAAAGCACCAUCCUCAGAGAUGUGACUGGGAUGAUCAGAAAUACGGCCCUGAGUGUCACACUUUUUAACAAGUUUGCCAGAAGAUUCUUUGAGAAUCACCUCUUUACUAGGUGAAUGUCUUCUUCAUUUUCCCUCAAGCUCCAUGAGGUCAAGGACCAUAUCUACUUUGCUCAUCAUUGAAUUCCCAGUGCCUUCAAAGCACAGUAUUUAGCAAAUGGAAGGUACUCAACAAAUAUCUGUCAAAGGAAGGAAAGAGGAGGAAGUUACAGUCAUAUUCAAAACUAAAAACAUACACACAUAGAAGGUGAAGAAGCAAAGCAGGGAAUUAAAUAACUGCUUGAACGGUUGAAUUCACCAAGUAACAGAGCAACAGUUCCAGGAUAUGAGAAAUAAAUCUGUGUGUUCCAACGCCAUUGAAGAAGGCACUUGGAAAUAAGUGACUUUUAAAAACUAUAGAAUUUAGGGGGGAGAAGUAGAGGAGAGAUGGAAUUUCUGGUAGAGAAAACUUUGUGAAUAAAGGCAUAGAAGUAAAUGAGUGGUGAAUGAGGUGCGAAGAGCUUUUCAUCUUACUCCAAAGUAUGCAAAUAAAGAGAGCCAUCCUGCAGCUCUAGCCCCAUCCCUUAAAUCCAGACCACUCUCCUUCUCCACUACCCUGUGCCAUGCAGCCCCCGGGCAGCUGCCGUGAUGGAGCAUCCCACCCAGGCUGAGAGCCCCACGACUCCAGCGUUCUCACCGGUGCUUGGCGAGGCCCUGGUGCUUAAUGGAGGUCCCAGGCCUGGGGCAUGCCGCAAAUGGGCUUCAAAGAGAGCAUCACGGGUCUUCUCAGCACCGCGCUCACCGGAGACAGCAAAUUACAAGCUGAAAAUUCACUACGUUUGUGAAAACCCUGAAUUUAUUUAGACAAAAGCAGAUGGAUAAUCUUGUUACAUUUCAGCACACCACACUUUAUUCAGAGGAAAUGAAACAACGCAUUACGCGUUCCUUUCUUUCCAUCUGCUCUCCCUUCCCUAAGUUCAGGUUUAUUAUUAAUAAAAUGAACUUAUCCUGCCUCCCUUUCCAUUCCAUUAGCCUUUACUCCUAAUUAAGUUUUGCUCACGUUGUCCUUUUCAGUGUCUCAGCAACUCUUUUUUCAACAUAGCUAUUUUCCCCCAGACCUCAAAUCAUUUCUACAGAUGAACUGCUGCCACCAGGAAUAUAAAAUGUCUUUAUCAAAUUAUAAUUUUUCUCAAAUGUUAAGAAAUUAUCUAGGCCCUUCUGUUCCUCCAAAGCAGGUCUGACUUGAAGGACAGAUUCUGCAGAGGAUUAGAAUCAACUCUUGACUUGAAUUUUUGGGAGGAGGAGGCAGGAGUCAUCUUCCUCUGAUUCCAAGCAGCUUGACCUUGGUUAGUUCACUAUUAGCCGGAUUAUUCACUUUCCCACUGCCCUCCAUCCACCACUGGUUUGUUUAUUUCCUUUCCCAAAACAAAUGUAAUGAAUGGGUACAGAAAGUGUCUCGAGAAAAACCCACUCUAAAAUUAGCUGGGCAUGGUGGUGAGCGCCUUUAAUCCCAGCUACUCAGGAAGCUGAAGCAGGAAAAUCACUUGAACCUGGGAGGUGGUGGUUGCAGUGAGCCGAAAUCGCACCACUGCACUCCAGCCUGGGCAACAGAGCUAGACUCUGCCAAAAAAGAAAAAAAAAAAAAGAAAAAAGAAAAACCCACUCAAAAAAAAAAAAUGCCAAGGGUGGUGGUGGCUCACACCUGUAAUCCCAGGUGCGAGGCUGAGGCAGGAAGAUCGCUUGAGCCUAGGAGUUCAAGGCCAGCCUGGGCAAUAUAGUGAGACCCCCAUCUCUAGAAAUAAAUAAAUAAAUAAAAGAAACAAAUGAAAAGCCCAAGCCUCAGAGACAGUAAAGACAGAAAAUAUGAUUGUCAAAAAAGUGCUGAGAUGGAUUCAGUGAGUCAAAGACAAGUCACCAGCCCUCCCUAAACUCCAGUCCACGUUCAAACAGGUUGGAAUUUGUAGCAUUUCUGUUCAUAACCACGGCAGCUGGGAAAGCAGAUUGUGCAUGUGGCAUUGUUGUCAACUUCUCUGGCCUGAGGAGUCUGAGUGUAGCUACUGCAAUCUCUACCCCAGGCAUUUUCCAGACCCCUUGGCACUCUGGUCAUUUUCCAGACCCCAGGCAGGCAUGACUCAAUGCCACUGUCCCUCAGGCCAACAUUCCUUUAGGUCAUGUAUGUGCCUGCCUGGGAGAGGGAAUUCUUCCUGGGGUUCGAAAGAGUGUGCUCUGGAAUCUUGACUCUUGCAGUCAAAUCCCAGCUCUGCCUCCACCUACCAGGGCAGACUUGAUCCAGUGAAUUUGUGCCUCUGUUUCCUCACCUGUAAAACAGGGCUAAAGAUCCAAACCUACUUCAUGGAAUUACUGCAAAGAUUGAUGUGAGAAAGUCUGACAAGCACUCAGCACAGGGCCUGGCACAUGAGUGUGCAGAAAAUAUUGACUGUCGUUACUAAUGGCAACUGUUGAGACUCUGAUACGAUUCAGGGAAAACUUCAGGUGUCCUGAUUUGACCCCAGCUCAUGACGGCAUACUUACUUCUGCACCCUAAGAUCUAGGAAAGCCACAUACAACUCAAGCCACAGUAGCUUACACCAGAUAUUAAGGAGAUCGAAAUGUCUCUCGGGUCAGUUCCAUAGUCCACUCAACUGAGGAACCGUCAUGCUGAUGGAGGUUUUCAGGUAAAUUUGAGUAUUAUCAUGAUUCUUCUCCUGGACACCAAACAAACCACAAAGGAAGUUACUCUUGACUACCUUACUUCAACCCUCCUGGAGUUUAUUCAUGUUUUCAGUUAGAAUUUCUUUCCUGUGGCAUUGCAUUGCUAAUAACGCCAGGUGAGACUGGUGUUAAGCAUGGGUCAAGGAAGUCUGCUAUUGGUGUUUCGAAAAUCAGCAAGUAAAAUCCAUCCACUGCCCUCCACAAUGCUAGGACCCAGAUCACAGGGAAGCUGACCUGGCCUCUGGCCUUUCACUCUAAUUGACUGUGGGCUUCCCCAUGGCUGACCUCUGAAAUCACCAAGCUAUGGCAACUCGGACACUGAAGCCCUGAUUAACGAGCUUUUCUGGAGCGCUUUACCUGUUACCUGUUUUGUACCUUGAGCAAGACACCUCUCUGACCAGGUGCUGUCCUUCCUCAAAGCAGGGGUGGAGCAAGCUGCUCAGGUCAGCCCCUGAGGCUGAUACUGCACUCUCAAUGAAUGGCAGAGUCACUCCUGCCUUUUUCACAGCCUUUGAAAGGUUCUGGAAUGAACCCACAUAAACUACUGCUUGCAGAACGGAUGGGCGAGUUCUUUACGACUCUGCUCCUGGGCUCUUAGUAAGCACACAUUUUCCCAAACUUAAAUCUUCUAAAUUGGAGUUGCCACCUUUAAAGGGUAAGCUGACCCAAUGUCCUUGCUGGUCAAAGAAAUUUUUUGCAAAUGCAGAAAAAUACUUAACACUUUCCUUUUCAGACACAGGAUGAAAGAGGGCACAAAUAGGUCAGAAUAUUGGCUUAAAUCAAAUUGUGGGAGCCGUUUGAAUUUACUUUUAUAGAUAGAAAAACUGGAAAACGUCAGUCCCUCCUACUUCCUCCUUCUGCCUAUGUCUCUCACUCAGCCAUUACAUGGAUGUGCUCUGGGGCCUCAGAAUCUUCCAGGCAGACUGCCCUCCCCACUAAGCAGGCAUGAUCUGGACACACUGAAGCAGAAAGGCAUGCCCCUUCAUAAAAGUCUGCCCCCAGUGCAGUGAUUAAGGCAGGACAAAAUGUCACCGCAGUGUUCCACCAGCACCUAUGCCUCUCUGUCCCUAGGCUGUGCACCCACCCAGGCCAGCCGCAUCACUUAGGUAACAGCAAAUGUGAGCAUCGCUGGUUGCUGUGGGAGGUAGAAAGACAGUGAAAGAAUACCUCUGACCUGGAAGACUGUGCUGUCUUGGAGGGAUCCAGGGUAUAGUCCUAGAGAAACAACUUUAGGGCACUAAAGGCAAAUAACAUAAAAUCUAGGGCUCUGGAGCCAGAGUCCCUGAGUUCAAAUCCUGUCUGCAUAAUUGUAUGAGCUUAGAGAAACUGCAUUCCUUCCCUGUCCCUAAAACCUCAUAGGGUAGUUAUAAGGAAAAUUCUGAAUAUGAAAAGUAUUCAGUACAGUCUUGAUUUUUAAAACUCUUAUUGAAAAACUCAACCAUCUCACAUUACUGCCUGCCAACAGCUUUCGCUCCCAGAAGGAAGAAGACCCAACCUCCCUUCAUAGGACUGCACAACCUCCCCCUGCCACCUCUGUGGUCUUAGUUCCCCAACUCUCACCCUUGCUCACUCAGCCUCAGUCACGCUGGACUUCUUCUGCUCAAACACACAGGCCUUCCUCCCACGGCAGCACCACCACUCUGUCGGCAUCUCCAUCCUGAGUGCUCUCAUCGCCUCCCCAAGCCCCUCACCACUACCGCUCUUCUCUCGGCUUAUUCCCUAACUCUAUUCAAUGCCGUCUUUUCCGUGACCACUUUUUCUAGAAUAAGAAUGUACCUUGCUUGCUGGUUUGGACGUGGAGAAAGGGAAACCCUUGUCCACUGUUGGUGGGAAUGUAAAUCAAUAUAGCCACUACAGGAAACAGUGUGGAGAUUUCUAAAAAAAAAAAAAGCUAAAAACAGAACUACCAUACAAUCCUACAGUCCUACCACUGUGUAUCUAUCCAAAGGAAAAAGAAUUCAGCGUAUUAAAGGGAUACCUGCACUCACUUAUUUAUUUACUUUUUACUUUUUAUUGAUUUAAUUAUACUUUAAGUUCUAGGGUACAUGUGCACAACGUGCAGGUUUGAUACAUAGGUAUACAUGUGCCAUGUUGGUUUGCUGCACCCAUCAACUCAUAAUUUACAUUAGGUAUUUCUUCUAAUGCCAUCCCUCCCCCAACACCCACCCCCUAGCAGGCACCAGUGUGUGAUGUUCCCCGUCCUGUGUCUAAGUGAUCUCAUUGUUCAGUUCCCACCUAUGAGUAAGAACAUGCAGUGUUCGGUUUUCUGUCCUUGCGAUAGUUUGCUCAGAAUGAUGGUUUCCAGCUUCAUCCAUGUCCCUACAAAGAACAUGAACUCAUCUGUUUUUAUGGCUGCAUAGUAUUCCAUGGUGUAUAUGUG